GGGUAGCGAACAGGAUUAGAUACCCUGGUAGUCCAUGCCGUAAACGAUGAAUGCUAGGUGUUGGAGGGUUUCCGCCCUUCAGUGCCGCAGCUAACGCAUUAAGCAUUCCGCCUGGGGAGUACGACCGCAAGGUUGAAACUCAAAGGAAUUGACGGGGGCCCGCACAAGCGGUGGAGCAUGUGGUUUAAUUCGAAGCAACGCGAAGAACCUUACCAGGUCUUGACAUCUUUUGAUCACCUGAGAGAUCAGGUUUCCCCUUCGGGGGCAAAAUGACAGGUGGUGCAUGGUUGUCGUCAGCUCGUGUCGUGAGAUGUUGGGUUAAGUCCCGCAACGAGCGCAACCCUUAUGACUAGUUGCCAGCAUUUAGUUGGGCACUCUAGUAAGACUGCCGGUGACAAACCGGAGGAAGGUGGGGAUGACGUCAAAUCAUCAUGCCCCUUAUGACCUGGGCUACACACGUGCUACAAUGGAUGGUACAACGAGUUGCGAGACCGCGAG
rnacentral:rRNA from 1 species